UCCUCCACGCCAGCCUCCAAAAAGCGCUGCUGACCUGGCUCGCUCCCUCUUGCAAUCCCUGAACUGGUGAGAAGAAAACCACUCUGUGAAAGAGAAGUAAACUGGAAAACUUCUUUUUUAACGCUAAAGUUAGAGUAAGUGUAGCUGAAGUGUAUUUUUUUUCCCCAUAGCUUUUUUUUGUUUAAGAAGAAGGAAAUAUUUUAUCAGCAUAAAAGAUCAGAGUCAUGGCAGCAGCCCAAAGGAAAUCCUUUUUCUUUCCAACGUCUGGAUUGUGAGGAAAGUCAAAAAUAUCGUUUCCCCCACCCUUUCUUUCACCUGAAUUUCCUUGGAAAACAAAGGAAGGCUUUUUAAGGGGGAAGAGAGGAAGGGGCGUUUUUGAUGGGGAAGAAAUUGCACGCGCACUAAGCCCAAGGACAGGGGAGAGGCGUGGGAAGAACGCCCACCCAAUCUCAGGCAGCACAGAUCUGCUGAUGACAGUUUGCCUUACAGUCAAGAAAUCAGGUGGACAGUGAGGAGACGAUUGGGGUGGGGAAAAAGCAUAAUCCUGAAAUAAAUUAGAGAAGCUGAUGUUUUCAGGUUCAGGAAGUAAACAUGCUGGGUCAUAACAAGAUAGUCCUCUCUGGAUCUGUGGUAGGUAAGAUUUGAAAACUUCGGGGCACAGAAAAACUACCAAGCAUAAUGAUUCACUGUAAUUUCCUUUAUGAACUUCGGUGAUAACCCUUCACUUGAAUAAAGGAUCCUCCAGUAGGAAGGGAUGUUAAAAAUCCUCUUGUCUGGAAUGGGUAAACAAAAUGUAGUAUAUCCACAGAAUAGAAUAUUAUUCAGCUAUUAAAAAGGAAGUACUAACAACGUGCUACAACAUGAACCUUGAAAAUAUUAAGUGAAAGAAUCCAGGAAAAAAGACGCCAUAUUAUAUAAUUCCAUUUAUAUGAAAUUAGAAAAUCCAUAGAGGCAGAAAUUGAUAACAUUGAUUUCCAGGGACUGGGGAGAGAGGUGAAGUCAAGUGAAAGUCGCUCAGUUGUGUGUGGGAAUAAUUGCUAAUAGUUGUGUGUUUCCUUAUUGGUGAAAAUAUUCUGGAGAUGGUGGUGAUGGUUGCACAACUUUGUGAAUAUACUACAAUACAAACCACUGAAUUGUGCAUUUUAAAAGGGUGAACCUUAUAGUAUGUGAAUUAUAUCUCUGUCUUAAAAAUUGAAAGAUCAUGUUGACCAAAUUCUUGUCCUCAUCUACACAGGAAGGCAAAUAGAUGUAAUUGAAUGACCUAAUCAUGGCCACUAUGAAUAUAGUGGUCUCUGACUUCAUCAAGCUUAUAAUUUUAGAAGGAGGGAGACAAAAGAUAAAUUUUAAAACAAUAAAUAAUUACAGUUUCAAGUUGAUUUUUACAUUCAGAAGAUAAGUCCUGACCUUGCUCCAGAUUUAAAAUGAUUGAAUGAUGAGUAAUACUAGUUAUGAUGUCCCAUGAUCUAUCAAGGAGUGAGGUGAUCCACAGAAGGGAGCUUUGCUGAUAACUGAAUCUCCUGGAUCAACAAUGUGACCACAGCAUGGUUUUCUUUCUUCUUCCCCCUUACUGUCAACUUAUGCUAUCUUAUUGAAAUUUGUGUUUUCUUU